UGGCGGCAAUAGCGCGGUGGUCCCACCUGACCCCAUGCCGAACUCAGAAGUGAAACGCCGUAGCGCCGAUGGUAGUGUGGGGUCUCCCCAUGCGAGAGUAGGACACUGCCAGGCA
rnacentral:rRNA from 31 species